ACCUUUGGUAUAAUUCAUUCCAUACCUCAUUACCAACAUGCUCCAUCUGUAAGUUUCCUCUAGAUGUAACAAGUCCAUUAGCCAUCCAAAGUUGAAUGAGAUUUUCCUUCACCAUUUCAAAAUCCUUAGGAAAAACAGCACAAAAAGUAAAACACGGCCUUAAGGACAAAUUCAAAUUAAAGUAGCUUAGUCUCAAAGCAGACAUGAUAGGGUUAUCCUCAGAUAACUUCCAAAGCUCACUUUCCUUUACAGAAAGCCAUUGAUGUUCCUCAUUUUUAAAGCGCAAAAGGCUUCCCAAAACCUUGGCAGCAAGUGGUGAACCCACACAUUUUAUCACUAUCUCCUUGCCUAUUGCUGCAAGCUCUGCAGGCUCUUCCCCAUUAGGUCCAAAAGCGUGUUGUUUAAAUAAUGUCCAAAUGUCGUCGUCAUAUAAACCUACCAAAUGGUGAGCAGGGUGAGUUCCCAUGAUGGAUGCAACAAUAUCAAGUCGUGUUGUGACUAAAAUAGAUGAACCUUUCAUUGUAUUUCCACUCUUCAAAUAAUGCUUCAACUUUUCCCAUUUUAUUUGUUCAUGGUUCCACACAUCAUCCAGUACAAGUAAAUACUUUUUGCUUUGCAAAACUUCUUGAACUUUUUUUUGCAUUAAUUCUAAAGUCGAGAGAUUAUGAUUUUGUCCAGUGGCAGAUUCUAUGAUAGAGUGUAGGAUUUUCAUGAUGCUGAAAUCAUCUGAAACACAAACCCAUAUUUUCAAAUCAAAAUGGGUGGUUACGCUUUCAUCCUUGUAUACCAAUUGAGCAAGUGUUGUUUUUCCAUAUCCACCUAGGCCAACAAUGGAAUAGACAGAGAGAUCUUCACUAUUGCUAGCAUGCCUCAGAAGAUACUCAACAAUUUGUUCUUUAUCUCUGUCUCUUCCAUAUACUUUGGAUUCAGUGAUGACAGAGGUAGUUUGCCGCCACUCUUCAUCUUCUGGUUGGUGCUCCAUGACCCCCACCUGCAAUCCGAACUUCAUCCUUUCUUCAGCAAUAUCAUCGAUCUCUUUAGCAAUCUCCUUCAUCCUCUUUCCAAUGUUGCGACGAGCCAAAAUCUUCAUAGGAUGGAAACGAGUGAUCCGCUUGUUGUCGCCAUGUGCUUUUAAGGUUAUUGAACAUUCGUCCAAUAUAUCAUCAAGCACAUAAGCAGCAUCACGCAGUUGCUGUAACCACUCUUUCACAGCAUCAUUUGUUAUUUGCUUCUUUUCAGCAUCUUUUAGGACAGCACGGAUUAAAGUGAGCUUUCUAGAUAGUCUUUGGGUCAAUUCUCCAACACCCAAAUAGGUAGCAAGCUCCUCUUGUACAAAAGAUCCGAGGUUUUGAAUCACGAUACCAAGUAAAGCAUCAGCCAUUUUCAGAUGUGAGAACAGAAAUGAAUCAAAGUUGUUUAGAUUAGAGAUGACUUUGCUCUAGGAAGAUGAAAUAUGAGUUGUUAUUUGUUUUCAAAGAUUAUCUAUUAAAUCAGUGGAUGUAGUUUUUCUGCAACUUGUGAAUAUUGGUUGCUAUAGAAAAAAAAAUAUCAGUACAUGACAGUGAGGAAAACUACAUGACAGUGGGAAAAAAACAAGAUCAUGUCCAUUCAUUUGCUCAGUGCCUAGAAAAAUUGUUCUCUUUCAAAGGUAUGGCUUAAUUGUUGAUAAUAACUGUUAAACGGACUAGAAUCACAUUCCAAAAACUAGCAUAAUAAAAGGUGAGAGUGCUCAAACACAUUUAUACAUAUAUGCAUAAGAAUGUCGGUAAUGUGGGAAUCCAAACAACUUCAAUAUUAAUAUAUAAACUGGAUAAACAAUGGUUCGUGAGUGAAUAUCUCUUUCAUGAAUGUGUUGUAAUUGCAAACGCAUCAACAAAUUGUUUGAAUUCUAAGAGUAUAGCCAUAGACCGUAAAAAUAAAUUAUAGCAAAUCUACCUAAUAAGAUUAAAAAUUACAACCCAAAUGUCACUUUUAUUAAUCAUUUUAGUCCACAAAUAUGUUUUUCUGGUGGUCAAUUUAGUCCAAAAAUUACAUACAAAAAAAAAAACAAUAGAAAUAUGUUUGGAAUCUAGAUAUAUUUAAAAACAUGCAUAGACAGGUUUCACAUUAUACGACCAAAAUGGUUCUCUACUCUUUAUAAUUGGGAAACAUAUUGGCUCAUGCGAACAAUCCACACCAUUGAAACCUAUUUUAAAAUUUUAAAAUUUCCAAAUUUGUUCUAGGGUGACCUAGACUUCACCAGAGAGAAUCCAGUCACAAAUAAUAGUAAUACUAAUUAUUUAUAUAUUUCAAGUUGGGAAGUGUAUCUGCUGAUUUUUCUACAGCCACAUCUGUUGCAACCUUUCAACCUUGAACAGUACAUAAAUUUUACUGCAUACUGUAUAUAAUACUAUUCAAAAAUGAUUUUUGAAUACUAACAACAGACAAGUUAUCACAAAAUACUUUCAUUGAUUGUGUUGUGUGGCUGUAAUCUUUUCAACAAGUUAUCACAAAAUAUAGGAUCAGCUUGCAUUAUAUUACACACAAAAUCACAUAGAAAGAUCUUUAAUUCCAUAAAGACAGAAUGAGAUCUUUAAUUCCAAUAAAUGAAAACAAAGCGCAACAAAAUACACAAGAAAUGUGACUCAAUGGAAAAUAUCAGAUUCAAAUAUAAUUCAGCAGCAAAGAUAACUAGAAGCAACUGAACAAUAGAAGCAUCCAUAACAAAGUAAGAUUGUUAGCAGAUACAAAAAAGGAAUCUGCAAAUUUACAAUUUUCAUCAAAUCAAAUAAUGAUUUAGGAAGGAUACUACAGAAUGUUUCUAGAGAAAUAAAGCAUUGAUUAAUCCAUUAUACGAUCACAAAGCCAUUUCAUACAUAGGAAAGUAACACAACAAAAUUAGUAACACAGAGAUAUGAAAUUCCAAUUAAACAUAUCAAGAAAUUACUCUAUACAACAGACAAUUGAAAAAAUAUAACGGGGAACAUGGUAUUCAAACAUGAGUGAUGCUUAUCGCAUAACGUACUCUCAUAAAAUACAGAACAUUGACAAAAUGCCAAGAAUUGUAAUCCAUUUCAAAUGUAAUUAAUUCAACAGCAAAGAUAACAGAGCAAUAUGCAGGCAAUAAUCAAAUCAAAUUUCUGUUUAACGGAGCCAAGUUGAGCAUUUUGUUUGAACUUCAAAACUGAUCAGCCCUAAACUGCAAUUAAGAUCAACAUUGAUUUUAAAUCCUUUCAAUGAAACUAUUAUAAUUAUAUUACUGAAUGUCACAUAUCACACGCACAUAUAUGCACUUUACCUCGAUAACAACGCCAUGCAACUCCUUGUGCGAGAAAUUCCUUAGAAAAUACGGUUCAUUUGUCAAAUACAUAGUAUAAAAAUUGAGACGGUUAUUGCAGAAUCAUGUACAAACCUGUUUGCGUAGGCGUGGGGGAAAAUAUUUUUUCUAGUAUUACUAACUUGACACUUGCAAUAAAGUAAUAAUUGAAUGAUACAAACUGGUACCAAUUGAUAAAUUCACUUGAAUAACAGAGAUUUUAUUGAUGAGUCUGUAAUGGAAUUAGUCUCAAACAUUUACACUGUCGCAGAAUUGAAAUAACAGAGAUCAGUUUUAUUGGAUCUGAGUUUGGUUCUAGCAAGCCGAAUCAACCAAGUUACAUGAAUCACAACUUGACAACAUUUUAUAUAAAUAUAACUUCCAUAUUACAGAACAUUUAAAUAAUUUUUUCACUGCAUAAUUGCCAUACUAUCAAUUUCGAUUAUCCAUUUUCAUAUUUCUUACAUAUUGUAAACGAGCCAUACUUUAGGCUUAUUUUCAAUAGUAUCCAAUACUUGACAGAUAUCUGCAAUCACAAGAAUGUAUAGGACACAGCUUCAAACUAUAGACCUAUUUGGCCAAAUAGUACUCAAAAACAUUUUCCACUAAACAGAGAAGUCUUUCUCUUUCAUUUAAUAAGAAGGGUUGUAUGAUUAUUAUAAAUAAGAAUAUAGGAUGAGAUAUUUUUACCCUAAAGAAUCAAUAAUGAAGACAAGAGCGUUCAUUACACAUCUAUAUGCUAUCGACUUCCUUUUCAAUCAUCCAGUCAAAUUCACCGUAGGUAAAGUCAGGGUAUUGAGAUGGGCGGUGCCAGAAUUGCUUCCAUGCUGAUUUGAUAUUCUCUGCACACAUUGUUUAAUAUUCUCACAUCAUAUAAUUUGAUAUAAUAUAGUAAGAAUAAAGAGUGGAUUCAUUAAAUUAAAUUAAAUUACCACAUAUAGUUGGUUUUGUUUGUUCUACAUCAGAUUGCAAUUCUCGAUUCAAUACAAAUCGAGGAAUGUGAGCUAUCUUAUGCCAAUCUUCACCUAUUCCUCUCUUGCAUCUCUUCUCCAACAUAGGGCAACGAUCAAUACAUAACAUUUGCAAGUUUUGGAGUUGCUGAAAGUUGUCUGGUACUGAACUUAACUUUGAAAACCCAUAAAUUUGUAAUUCUUGUACAGAAGUCAUGGCACCCAAACAGUCUGGCAAGGAUGUUAGAGAAGGAAAAUCAAUCAGAUGCAAAUAUUGCAGUGAGGGGAUGUUAGGGAAGGAUGUUUCUCAGCCGUCUAGUAUGUUUUCAUUACCCCCAAAGACUUCCGGUUGACGAAGGGAAGUUAGACUGUCCAUGUUUUGUGGAAAAACGAACUGUGAACAGUCACCGAUUACAAGAGAAGUAAGGUGUCUCAUACCGUCGGGUAGGGAUUUGAAUCUAGAACAUGAACGAACUGACAAUUUUCGAAGAGAACUCAAACCUUGCAACAAUUGCUCCGAAAAGGACUCCAUUUCAUGACAAGAAUCAAUGUUAAGAGAUUCUAAAGCACCAAGAGUACCGAGUUCAACAGGUAAUUCCUUGAGUUCGGCGAAAUUUGAUAUGUGAGAGUUAACUUAAAAUCAGAAAUCUGGAGCAUCGUGCCACGAUCGAAAAGCAUCGCGCCACGAUGGUUGAAGCAAGAUUCCUGGGAAGACACUGGAAAAAUUGUGCCACGAUGAAGCAGGGUCGUGCCACGAUGGUCGCACUGAAGAUAAAAAUAAAAUGUAUUUUCAUUUAGAUUUGUUUCAGUUUUUUAAGGGUUUACUUUCCACUAUAAAUACAGCCUUGUAGCAGAUGAUAAAAGUGUGUAGAAAAACAAGGUUUAGACCAACAAACAAACUAGGGUUUAUAGAGAAUCUCUCUUGGCAACAACUCUAGGGUUGGGAUUGUUUUGAUUCACCUUGAACAAAACACUAUUAGGAUUGAGUCUCUUGGUCACGGGAAGAGGCUGGGACUUGGGUAGAAUUAGGUUUGAAGACUGAUUCUUGAAACUCAUUAUCUCUUUGUAAAGAAACUCAUUCAUUAUAGUGGAUCGGAGAGCUGCUCUCUCCCCCAGACUAGGUCAUCAUUAGACCGAACUGGGUAAACAAAUAUCUUGUGUUCUUUCUCUCUCUCUCUCUCUCUCUCUCUCUCUCUUUUAUUUCUUGUUGUUUUUGUUUGGAUUAUUUGCUACCCGCUUGAUUUGAUUACUUGGUAUUAAUUUGCUCCACGCAUCAAGUCUUAUUGUUGUGGUUUUCUCAACAAAUUCACAACAAGAAAGUGACCUAAGAUUAUUACCAGCAAUUCCCCGUGAGGAGGAAGCUAGAUCUUCACUGAAAUUGUUGUAAAAAAUGGACUUCAAUAACUCUUCAUUUCUUCCACUAGCAGUAAGUGACUCAACAUAUGGAAGGGACGACAGUGUAAGCUUGGGGACAUUUAUUAUAUUUAACUUCAAAGGUUGUGGCAGCAUCUCUACUCCUUCAACUUCCAACACCCUCUCGAAAUUUGGUAAGUUAUGCAAAGUCAAAAAAAUUUGAAUGACAUAAAAGCCUUCUCAGUCGCAGGUUCAUACAAGUCAUCAUCAAUGUACUUUAUAUCUCUCAUUUUAGAUACAUAAAGAAUAGUUAAACAUGGUAAUUUACCAAAUGGAGGAAACUGCCUGCAAUUUUUACAGCCAUAGAGAAUAAUACUAACUAAACCUUUUAGAAUAGAAGUAUUUCUCAUCCAAAGAGGAAAAUGUAUUCCCCCAUAACCAUUCACCCCAAAAUGCUUAAGACCUGAAUGAGGCUCAAGAGCAUCCAGUACUCGCUCAGCAUCAACACCACUAACUUGUGAAUUAGCAUAACCACCCCAUGACAAAUAUAAGCGAUUUAAGUCCUUCUUGCCAAUCAAAUUAGCGUCUCUAGCAUGCUCUUCAUUCGAUACAUUCUCAAGGACUUUGAUGUGUAGAUUUCCUCCUAAUUAUAGGUUGCAUAGCUCGGCUAAACCAUAACCAGUUUUUGAAUCAACAAUGAAAAUGGACCAUGUUUUCAGACAAGUGAACUUCCCAAUUUUAAAAGGAGAUGACAUCAAUGAAUGGCAAUUUUUAAUCAUGAGAUGUCGAAGGUCCUUCAAUUCUAUCAAUUGUUUAGGAAAACUGGAUAGAAAAUGACAACGUUCAAGUUUUAGUGUUUGCAAUUUCUGCAGUCUACAAACAGAACCUGGUAAGAUUGUGAUGGGACUUUGGUUGAGUUCCAAGUACCUCAAGUGAAUUAAACUCAUCAAUGAUGAGAGUUGAUGAAAACUUGCAUGUAAAGCUCGAAGAGGGGUGCUAGAUAGCAACAUAUUUAAGUUCUUGGAAGGUGGUUUAUACUCAAGAAAGGUUCGCAAGGAAUCAAAUUUUUGGAAGGGAAUCAUGUAGUCAUCUUUUGAUUUGUUAUCAAAGAGACUUAUAUGGUGAACUCUAAUUGAAAAAUUAGUCAACUUUGAGACAUCAUAAGAAAUACAUUCUUCUCCCAUAAAAGACUGACCUAAAUCAUGGAUAAAAUCAUGCAUUUUGAAUGUAAUGUUACCAACAAAAUCUGAUUUAACUUCUUGAAAAAAUGACCUUUGGUAUAAUUCAUUCCAUACCUCAUUACCAACAUCCUCCAUCUGUAAGUUUCCUCUAGAUGUAACAAGUCCAUUAGCCAUCCAAAGAUGAAUGAGAUUUUCCUUCACCAUUUCAAAAUCCUUGGGAAAAACAGCGCAGAAGGUAAAACAUGGCCUCAAGGACAAUUUCAAGUUAAAGUAGCUUAGUCUCAAAACAGACAUGAUAGGAUCAUCCUCAGUUAAAUUCCAAAACUCACUUUCCAGUACAGAAAUCCAUUGAUGUUCGUCGCU
rnacentral:lncRNA from 1 species